rnacentral:rRNA from 1 species
CCUACGGGCGGCUGCAGUAAGGAAUAUUGGUCAAUGGACGCAAGUCUGAACCAGCCAUGCCGCGUGAAGGAUUAAGGUCCUCUGGAUUGUAAACUUCUUUUCUCUGGGACGAAACCCCCUGUAUCCACAGGGCCUGACGGUACCAGAGGAAUAAGCACCGGCUAACUCCGUGCCAGCAGCCGCGGUAAUACGGAGGGUGCAAGCGUUAUCCGGAUUCACUGGGUUUAAAGGGUGCGUAGGUGGACAUUUAAGUCAGUGGUGAAAUCUUUGGGCUUAACCCGAAAACUGCCAUUGAUACUAUUUGUCUUGAAUUCUCUGGAGGUAAGCGGAAUAUGUCAUGUAGCGGUGAAAUGCUUAGAUAUGACAUAGAACACCCAUUGCGAAGGCAGCUUACUACGGAGACAUUGACACUGAGGCACGAAAGCGUGGGGAUCAAACAGGAUUAGAUACCCCGGUAGUC